rnacentral:rRNA from 1 species
GUAAUAGCUCACUGGUCGAGUCGGCCUGCGCGGAAGAUGUAACGGGGCUAAACCAUGCACCGAAGCUGCGGCAGCGACGCUGAUGCGUUGUUGGGUAGGGGAGCGUUCUGUAAGCCUGUGAAGGUGUACUGUGAGGUAUGCUGGAGGUAUCAGAAGUGCGAAUGCUGACAUAAGUAACGAUAAAGCGGGUGAAAAGCCCGCUCGCCGGA